UUAUUCUCUUCCAGUGUGGAGUUACCGUCUUACUUGGCCAGUACAUUGGGGGUUAUUGGUCUACAAUACGGACGUGAUAUCUCGAAUAAAGAGCACACGUUGUUUGGAUUAUCAUUUUAGUUCUCGUAGUGAUAAAAACAUCAGCCACACUUCCUCCUGUUAUAUAACCCACAGUGCCACAGGAUGGGUAAGCAUACAUGUACUACUAUAUGAAAAGGACCUCCCCCCUCCUACCGGGGCGAAGCCGGGAAUAGCGGGAUAGAGAUAUUUCUG